rnacentral:rRNA from 1 species
CUACGGGGUGCUGCAGUGGGGAAUAUUGCACAAUGGGGGAAACCCUGAUGCAGCAACGCCGCGUGGAGGAUGACGCAUUUCGGUGUGUAAACUCCUUUUAUAUAGGAAGAUAAUGACGGUACUAUAUGAAUAAGCACCGGCUAACUCCGUGCCAGCAGCCGCGGUAAUACGGAGGGUGCAAGCGUUACUCGGAAUCACUGGGCGUAAAGCGCGCGCAGGCGGCUCUUUAAGUUGGAUGUGAAAGCCUACGGCUCAACCGUAGAACUGCAUCCAAAACUGAAGAGCUAGAGUCUGGGAGGGGAAGAUGGAAUUAGUUGUGUAGGGGUAAAAUCCGUAGAGAUAACUAGGAAUACCAAAAGCGAAGGCGAUCUUCUGGAACAGUACUGACGCUGAGGCGCGAAAGCGUGGGGAGCAAACAGGAUUAGAUACCCCUGUAGUC